rnacentral:rRNA from 1 species
GGUGGGAGGCUUUGAAGCGUGGACGCCAGUCUGCAUGGAGCCGACCUUGAAAUACCACCCUUUAAUGUUUGAUGUUCUAACGUUGGCCCCUUACCGGGGUUGCGGACAGUGUCUGGUGGGUAGUUUGACUGGGGCGGUCUCCUCCUAAAGCGUAACGGAGGAGCACGAAGGUUGGCUAAUCCUGGUCGGACAUCAGGAGGUUAGUGCAAUGGCAUAAGCCAGCUUGACUGCGAGCGUGACGGCGCGAGCAGGUGCGAAAGCAGGUCAUAGUGAUCCGGUGGUUCUGAAUGGAAGGGCCAUCGCUCAACGGAUAAAAGGUACUCCGGGGAUAACAGGCUGAUACCGCCCAAGAGUUCAUAUCGACGGCGGUGUUUGGCACCUCGAUGUCGGCUCAUCACAUCCUGGGGCUGAAGUAGGUCCCAAGGGUAUGGCUGUUCGCCAUUUAAAGUGGUACGCGAGCUGGGUUUAGAACGUCGUGAGACAGUUCGGUCCCUAUCUGCCGUGGGCGCUGGAGAACUGAGGGGGGCUGCUCCUAGUACGAGAGGACCGGAGUGGACGCAUCACUGGUGUUCGGGUUGUCAUGCCAAUGGCACUGCCCGGUAGCUAAAUGCGGAA